rnacentral:lncRNA from 1 species
UGUGAUUUCAUCUUUAAUAGCCCUGCCAAAUAUUUUGAUUUGAAUACUUAAUUACCAAGCAACCUUUCAGAUUACAGAAAAUGAUAAGACACCAAGCAUGGUCAUGUCACUAAACGAGGCCUUAGCUUAUUACAAUAGAAUUGGUUGUUGUUGUUGGAAAGAAGAAUAUUUGAUUUUCAGCUAACUUUCCUAAUUCCUAAUUUAAUUCUCUUGUUUAUAUGUAAAAUCUUCAUCAACUUUUGCUUAUCUAAUAAGAUUGCUCCCUCCCUGAAUCAUAACAAGGAACGUGAAGCAAAAUCUCAAAUCUUUUUAUUGGCCAAGACUUAAGACCAUAUCAACCUUCAAGGCUGUUACAUCUAACUCAUAUGUGAUCAAUANGUUACAUCUAACUCAUAUAGUGAUCAAUAAUGUGUGUAUAUAUAGAAAAAGUGUAGGUUGUGUCAUCAUACCUUAAAUGAGAAAUUACUGAAUGAGUAAUUCACAUUGAGAGUUGAAGCACCAAAUUCUUCCAGGUUACCACAUUCAUCACCCGGCCUGUUUAAUCACACAACCAAAUAAUC